rnacentral:rRNA from 1 species
UACGUAGGGGGCUAGCGUUGUCCGGAAUCAUUGGGCGUAAAGCGCACGUAGGCGGCUUUGUAAGUUAGAGGUGAAAGCCCGGGGCUCAACUCCGGAAUUGCCUUUAAGACUGCAUCGCUAGAAUUGUGGAGAGGUAAGUGGAAUUCCGAGUGUAGAGGUGAAAUUCGUAGAUAUUCGGAAGAACACCAGUGGCGAAGGCGACUUACUGGACACAUAUUGACGCUGAGGUGCGAAAGCGUGGGGAGCAAACAGG